GCCAUAUGACAGCCGUCAGGUGCCCGCUUUUAUGUGGGAGAAUCGGGAAGCCGGUGCAGUUCCGGCACGUGCCCAACGCUGUGAAGGGGACGUUCUCGCCAAAAACAGGCUCUGAAUCUUUUCAGAGCUUUGCCACUGAAUUUUAAAGUGAUUUGGGAAGGCGGCGGGAGCGGAUGAUCCGAAGUCAGAAGACCGGCCUGGCGAGAUAGACCGGC
rnacentral:ncRNA from 2 species